UACGUAGGGUGCAAGCGUUAAUCGGAAUUACUGGGCGUAAAGCGUGCGCAGGCGGUUUUGUAAGUCUGUCGUGAAAUCCCCGGGCUCAACCUGGGAAUUGCGAUGGAGACUGCAAGGCUAGAAUCUGGCAGAGGGGGGUAGAAUUCCACGUGUAGCAGUGAAAUGCGUAGAGAUGUGGAGGAACACCGAUGGCGAAGGCAGCCCCCUGGGUCAAGACUGACGCUCAUGCACGAAAGGCGUGGGGAGCAAACAGG
rnacentral:rRNA from 1 species